UACGACUACAUAUCAGGCAUAUCAAUAAGCGGAGGAAAAGAAACUAACUAGGAUUCCCUCAGUAACGGCGAGUGAAGCGGGAAGAGCUCAAAUUUGAAAUCUUCAAGGUUUUACCUUGACGAAUUGUAGUUUAAAGAAGUGUUUUCUGUUGGAGUUUUGGUAAAAGUUCUUUGGAAUAGGACAUCAUAGAGGGUGAGAAUCCCGUAUUUGACCAUUAUUUCCAGCUGUGUGAUACACUUUCAAAGAGUCGGAUUGUUUGGGAAUGCAGUCCAAAAUGGGUGGUAAAUUUCAUCUAAAGCUAAAUACUGGCGAGAGACCGAUAGCGAACAAGUACCGUGAGGGAAAGAUGAAAAGAACUUUGAAAAGAGAGUUAAACAGUACGUGAAAUUGUCAAAAGGGAAGCGUUUGACACCAGUGUUGUUUUCUCGAAAAUCAAUUAAAAAGUAUGGGAUUUUGUAUUGUUAAGACCUUAUCAGCUUACUGUACUUUUUUCUUAUUCUUUUUAAUGCACUUUUCGUUUAACAAGUCAACAUCAAUUUCUUUUGUUGUAAAAGAGUCAUUGGAAGGUGGCUUUCACUUCGGUGAAAGUGUUUAUAGCCUUUGGCUUCUGCAAUCGGAGAGAUUGAGGUCUGCAGCGUAGAUCCUUCGGGGUUAGAUACGUAGAUGCUAAGUUAUAGUUUUUCAUAGACAACUUGUUGACUAUGAUUAAUCAUGUAGCUUACUCGUUUGCGCUAUUUUACCUACGCUUAGGAUGUUGAAUCUGUGCGAGACUAC
rnacentral:rRNA from 1 species